rfam:Pseudomonas monteilii strain TSDA-ARS-TSMARC-56711, complete genome.
GCGCAUACGGUGGAUGCCUUGGCAGUCAGAGGCGAUGAAAGACGUGGUAGCCUGCGAUAAGCUUUGGGGAGUCGGCAAACAGACUGUGAUCCAGAGAUCUCUGAAUGGGGGAACCACUCAGCAUAAGCUGAGUAUCCUGCACUGAAUACAUAGGUGCAUGAGGCGAACCAGGGAACUGAAACAUCUAAGUACCCUGAGGAAUAGAAAUCAACCGAGAUUCCCUUAGUAGUGGCGAGCGAACGGGGACCAGCCCUUAAGUUGGUUGAAGAUUAGUGGAACGCUCUGGAAAGUGCGGCCAUAGUGGGUGAUAGCCCCGUACACGAAAAUCUUCUUUCAAUGAAAUCGAGUAGGACGGAGCACGAGAAACUUUGUCUGAAUAUGGGGGGACCAUCCUCCAAGGCUAAAUACUACUGACUGACCGAUAGUGAACCAGUACGUGAGGGAAAGGCGAAAAGAACCCCGGAGAGGGGAGUGAAAUAGAACCUGAAACCGUAUGCGUACAAGCAGUGGGAGCCUACUUGUUAGGUGACUGCGUACCUUUUGUAUAAUGGGUCAGCGACUUAUAUUCAGUGGCGAGCUUAACCGAAUAGGGGAGGCGUAGCGAAAGCGAGUCUUAAUAGGGCGAACAGUCGCUGGGUAUAGACCCGAAACCGGGCGAUCUAUCCAUGGGCAGGUUGAAGGUUAGGUAACACUGACUGGAGGACCGAACCGACUACCGUUGAAAAGUUAGCGGAUGACCUGUGGAUCGGAGUGAAAGGCUAAUCAAGCUCGGAGAUAGCUGGUUCUCCUCGAAAGCUAUUUAGGUAGCGCCUCAUGUAUCACUGCUGGGGGUAGAGCACUGUUUCGGCUAGGGGGUCAUCCCGACUUACCAAACCGAUGCAAACUCCGAAUACCAGCAAGUGCCGAGCAUGGGAGACACACGGCGGGUGCUAACGUCCGUCGUGAAAAGGGAAACAACCCAGACCGUCAGCUAAGGUCCCAAAGUCAUGGUUAAGUGGGAAACGAUGUGGGAAGGCUUAGACAGCUAGGAGGUUGGCUUAGAAGCAGCCACCCUUUAAAGAAAGCGUAAUAGCUCACUAGUCGAGUCGGCCUGCGCGGAAGAUGUAACGGGGCUCAAACCAUGCACCGAAGCUACGGGUAUCACCACUAGGUGAUGCGGUAGAGGAGCGUUCUGUAAGCCUGUGAAGGUCAGUUGAGAAGCUGGCUGGAGGUAUCAGAAGUGCGAAUGCUGACAUGAGUAACGACAAUGGGAGUGAAAAACUCCCACGCCGAAAGACCAAGGUUUCCUGCGCAACGUUAAUCGACGCAGGGUUAGUCGGUCCCUAAGGCGAGGCUGAAAAGCGUAGUCGAUGGAAAACAGGUUAAUAUUCCUGUAUUCCGGUUAUUGCGAUGGAGGGACGGAGAAGGCUAGGCCAGCUUGGCGUUGGUUGUCCAAGUUUAAGGUGGUAGGCUGAGAUCUUAGGCAAAUCCGGGAUCUCAAGGCCGAGAGCUGAUGACGAGUUGCCUUUAGGCGACGAAGUGGUUGAUGCCAUGCUUCCAAGAAAAGCUCCUAAGCUUCAGAUAAUCGGGAACCGUACCCCAAACCGACACAGGUGGUUAGGUAGAGAAUACCAAGGCGCUUGAGAGAACUCGGGUGAAGGAACUAGGCAAAAUGGCACCGUAACUUCGGGAGAAGGUGCCCGCGAGGUUAAGGACUUGCCUCCGUAAGCCCAUGCCGGUCGAAGAUACCAGGCCGCUGCGACUGUUUAUUAAAACACAGCACUCUGCAAACACGAAAGUGGACGUAUAGGUGUGACGCUGCCGGUGCCGGAAGGUUAAUUGAUGGGGUUAGCGGCAAGCGAAGCUCUUGAUCGAAGCCCCGGUAAACGGCGGCCGUAACUAUAACGGUCCUAAGGUAGCGAAAUUCCUUGUCGGGUAAGUUCCGACCUGCACGAAUGGCGUAACGAUGGCGGCGCUGUCUCCACCCGAGACUCAGUGAAAUUG